GGCAAAGAAGAAACUGGUUUGAUUACCAGAAAUUAUGGCAACUUCAACAGGAGGUCUUCAGUACAACACGGCUCACUACGAGAUUCCAAUAUUAAAGGGGUUGAUGACCCGAAAUUAUGGCAACUUCAACAGAGGGUCUUCAGUACAUGGGCUCACAACGAGAUUCCAAUAUUAAAAGGGAGUCUGUCUAGGUAGACAUCAUGACGCUGUCAAUAGUCUGAAGAGCUUGGUUGGCAAAAAAACGGACAUCAACAUCUGGAUCCUCACUUAGCUCAACC
rnacentral:lncRNA from 1 species